UACAGAGGGGGCAAGCGGUAUUCGGAAUUAUUGGGCGUAAAGGGCGCGUAGGCGGCUUGGCAAGUGGAUGGUGAAAUCCCUCGGCUUAACCGAGGAACUGCCGUCCAAACUGCUUCGCUUGAGACCGGGAGAGGUGAGUGGAAUUCCCAGUGUAGCGGUGAAAUGCGUAGAUAUUGGGAGGAACACCAGUGGCGAAGGCGGCUCACUGGACCGGUACUGACGCUGAUGCGCGAAAGUGUGGGGAGCAAACGGG
rnacentral:rRNA from 1 species